rnacentral:tRNA from 1 species
GGGCGGCAGCCCAAGGCUUCGAAGUGGUAGAGCGCUCGCUUCACACGCGAGAGAUCACUGGUUGCGAACCCAGUAUCGCCCA